rnacentral:rRNA from 1 species
CCUACGGGUGGCUGCAGUGGGGAAUAUUGGACAAUGGGCGAAAGCCUGAUCCAGCCAUGCCGCGUGUGUGAAGAAGGCCUUCGGGUUGUAAAGCACUUUCAGUGGGGAAGAAAGCCUUGGGGCUAAUACCCUCGAGGAAGGACAUCACCCACAGAAGAAGCACCGGCUAACUCCGUGCCAGCAGCCGCGGUAAUACGGAGGGUGCGAGCGUUAAUCGGAAUUACUGGGCGUAAAGCGCGCGUAGGCGGUCUGAUAAGCCGGUUGUGAAAGCCCCGGGCUCAACCUGGAAACGGCAUCCGGAACUGUCAGGCUAGAGUGCAGGAGAGGAAGGUAGAAUUCCCGGUGUAGCGGUGAAAUGCGUAGAGAUCGGGAGGAAUACCAGUGGCGAAGGCGGCCUUCUGGACUGACACUGACGCUGAGGUGCGAAAGCGUGGGUAGCAAACAGGAUUAGAUACCCGAGUAGUC